rnacentral:rRNA from 1 species
UACGUAGGUGGCAAGCGUUGUCCGGAUUUACUGGGCGUAAAGAGCGCGCAGGCGGUCGUUCAAGUCGCGUGUGAAAGCCCCCGGCUCAACUGGGGAGGGUCACGCGAUACUGAUCGACUCGAAGGCAGGAGAGGGUAGUGGAAUUCCCGGUGUAGUGGUGAAAUGCGUAGAUAUCGGGAGGAACACCGGUGGCGAAGGCGGCCUUCUGGACGGAUACUGACGCUGAAGCGCGAAAGCCAGGGGAGCGAACGGG